UACAAGGGAAGCAGAAUGGCCA
rnacentral:piRNA from 1 species